rnacentral:rRNA from 1 species
CAGCAGCCACGGUAAUACGAAGGGGGCUAGCGUUGUUCGGAUUUACUGGGCGUAAAGCGCACGUAGGCGGAUCGAUCAGUCAGGGGUGAAAUCCCAGAGCUCAACUCUGGAACUGCCUUUGAUACUGUCGAUCUGGAGUAUGGAAGAGGUGAGUGGAAUUCCGAGUGUAGAGGUGAAAUUCGUAGAUAUUCGGAGGAACACCAGUGGCGAAGGCGGCUCACUGGUCCAUUACUGACGCUGAGGUGCGAAAGCGUGGGGAGCAAACAGGAUUAGAUACCCGAGUAGUCCCUGUCUCUUAUAC